CCUACGGGUGGCAGCAGUAAGGGAUAUUGGUCAAUGGGGGAAACCCUGAACCAGCAACGCCGCGUGAGGGAAGACGGUUUUCGGAUUGUAAACCUCUGUCCUCUGUGAAGAUGAUGACGGUAGCAGAGGAGGAAGCAGCGGCUAACUAUGUGCCAGUAGCCGCGGUAAAACGUAGGGAGCGCGCGUUGUCCGGAUUCACGGGGUGUAAAGGGUGCGGAGGCGGCUUGGGAAUUUAGUAGUGAAUUCCAUGGGCUUAACCCAUGAGCUGAUGUGUAAAGUGUCGAGCUUGAGUGAAGUAGGGGUAGGCGGAAUUCCUGGGGUAGCGGUGAAAUGCGUAGAGAUCGGGAGGAACACCGGUGGCGAAGGCAGGCUACUGGGCAUUAACUGACGCUGAGGCACGAAAGCAUGGGUAGCGAACAGGAUUAGAUACCCCUGUAGUC
rnacentral:rRNA from 1 species